rnacentral:rRNA from 1 species
GUGUCAGCAGCCGCGGUAAUACAGAGGUCCCGAGCGUUGUUCGGAUUCACUGGGCGUAAAGGGUGCGUAGGUGGCCAUGAAAGUCUGAUGUGAAAUCUCCGGGCUCAACCCGGAAAAUGCAUUGGAUACUAUGUGGCUUGAGGUUUGGAGGGGGGACUGGAAUUCUCGGUGUAGCAGUGAAAUGCGUAGAUAUCGAGAGGAACACCAGUGGCGAAGGCGGGUCCCUGGACAACACCUGACACUGAGGCACGAAAGCUAGGGGAGCAAACAGGAUUAGAUACCCUGGUAGUCC